AGCCCGUUGGUCUAGGGGCAUAAUUCUCGCUUUGGGUGCGAGAGGUCCCGGGUUCAAAUUCCGGACUGGCCC
rfam:Ciona savignyi cont_25670, whole genome shotgun sequence.